rnacentral:rRNA from 1 species
AGAAUCAACGCUGGCGGCGUGCCUAACACAUGCAAGUCGAACGAGAAAGUGGAGCAAUCCACAAGUAAAGUGGCGCACGGGUGAGUAACACGUGACUAACCUACCCUUGAGUGGGGGAUAACCUAGGGAAACCUGGGCUAAUACCGCAUAAUACCUACGGGUCAAAGGAGCAAUUCGCUUAAGGAGGGGGUCGCGGCCGAUUAGUUAGUUGGCGGGGUAAUGGCCCACCAAGACGAUGAUCGGUAUCC